GGCGCUCGCGGGUCUGGCCGGCCGCGCUCCGCCCCAGGCCCCUCCGCGCAGGCGCUGCCAGCCGCGGUUCCCAUGGCGACGGGGGACGCUUCCCCGCGCGAGGCCCCGCCCCCAGCAGGCCAGGCUGCGCGGGGCCGCUGCGGCGCCGGCAGGUGCCGCGGGCUGCGGGCAGGUGGCGGCGCGGCGCGGGCAGGCGGCGGCGGCUGCAGGGUAGGUUGUGCGGCGGCCGCCGGCGGUGGGGGCGGGCUGUCUGCCCCCAGUCCCCCGCCCGCGGAGGGGCUGGGAGGCGGCGGUGGGCGAUGGCCGCCAAGUUUCUGCUCGGCUGAGGCCCCGGGAGAAAAGUUGGCAAAGUUGGCCCGGUGGCUCUCCCGUGGACCUUAGCAGCCCCCUGAAGACACCGCCCAGCCUUGUCACCAGCCACAGGAGUGGCUUCCUUUCUCUGGCCUCAGUGUCUACACCUGUGAAACGGGAUGCCGACACCUUCCUCCCAGCUUGGCCGGGAGCUCUGAACGAGGUCACUCGUGUGAACGUGGGGUGAACGUGGGGUGGAAGGUGAGUCAGUGUCCAUCCUGUCGGGUGAAUGGUGAUGUUAGGUAAAGCCCCCACUGUGUGCAUGUGUCUCUCUG
rnacentral:lncRNA from 1 species